AGAGUUUGAUCCUGGCUCAGGACGAACGCUGGCGGCGUGCUUAACACAUGCAAGUCGAACGAAGCACCUUAUUCUGAUUUCUUCGGAAUGAAAAAUUUGGUGACUGAGUGGCGGACGGGUGAGUAACGCGUGGGUAACCUGCCUCAUACAGGGGGAUAACAGUUAGAAAUGACUGCUAAUACCGCAUAAGACCACAGCACCGCAUGGUGCAGGGGUAAAAACUCCGGUGGUAUGAGAUGGACCCGCGUCUGAUUAGGUAGUUGGUGGGGUAACGGCCUACCAAGCCGACGAUCAGUAGCCGACCUGAGAGGGUGACCGGCCACAUUGGGACUGAGACACGGCCCAAACUCCUACGGGAGGCAGCAGUGGGGAAUAUUGCACAACGGGGGAAACCCUGAUGCAGCGACGCCGCGUGAGCGAUGAAGUAUUUCGGUAUGUAAAGCUCUAUCAGCAGGGAAGAAAAUGACGGUACCUGACUAAGAAGCACCGGCUAAAUACGUGCCAGCAGCCGCGGUAAUACGUAUGGUGCAAGCGUUAUCCGGAUUUACUGGGUGUAAAGGGAGCGUAGACGGAGUGGCAAGUCUGAUGUGAAAACCCGGGGCUCAACCCCGGGACUGCAUUGGAAACUGUCAAUCUAGAGUACCGGAGAGGUAAGCGGAAUUCCUAGUGUAGCGGUGAAAUGCGUAGAUAUUAGGAGGAACACCAGUGGCGAAGGCGGCUUACUGGACGGUAACUGACGUUGAGGCUCGAAAGCGUGGGGAGCAAACAGGAUUAGAUACCCUGGUAAUCCACGCUGUAAACGAUGAUUAAUAGGGUGUGGGGGGUCUGACCCCUUCCGUGCCGGAGUUAACACAAUAAGUUAAUCCACCUGGGGAGUACGGCCGCAAGGUUGAAACUCAAAGGAAUUGACGGGGGCCCGCACAAGCAGUGGAGUAUGUGGUUUAAUUCGAAGCAACGCGAAGAACCUUACCAGGUCUUGACAUCCAACUAACGAAGUAGAGAUACAUUAGGUGCCCUUCGGGGAAAGUUGAGACAGGUGGUGCAUGGUUGUCGUCAGCUCGUGUCGUGAGAUGUUGGGUUAAGUCCCGCAACGAGCGCAACCCUUGCUAUUAGUUGCUACGCAAGAGCACUCUAAUAGGACUGCCGUUGACAAAACGGAGGAAGGUGGGGACGACGUCAAAUCAUCAUGCCCCUUAUGACCUGGGCUACACACGUACUACAAUGGAUGUUAACAGAGGGAAGCAAGACAGUGAUGUGGAGCAAACCCCUAAAAACAUUCUCAGUUCAGAUUGCAGGCUGCAACCCGCCUGCAUGAAGAUGGAAUUGCUAGUAAUCGCGGAUCAGCAUGCCGCGGUGAA
rnacentral:rRNA from 1 species